GUGAAACUUAUUUAAAAAUAAAUUUCGAUCUUUUCAGGUUUCGUUUGGAAUGUGAUAGCGUUAUCUUUGGAUCUCUGAUACUUACAUCCUUCUGGAGGAGAAUGGUGAAGUCUUUCUUGAUGAAAGAUAACAAUAUGGACCGUUUGUGAGGCUUAGGUCUUCUGCAGAAGCUGAAUUUUUUAGAUUUCGUUAGGGAAGUAAAAUAUACAACCCUCCUGGCAAUGAUGAUGUCCCACUGUCUUCCACGUAGAGUAGGAAGAUGGAUCGUUUGUAAGGAUGAAAUGUUCUGUGGAUACUGAAGUUUUUGGAUUUCGUAAGGGAAGUACAAAUAAACAUCCCUCCCAGGAACGAUGAUGUCCCACCGUCUUCAAUGGAAUGUAGGAACAUGGAUCGUUCGUGAGGAUGAGAUGUCUGCAGAAACUGAAUUUCAUAAGGCUUUUUUGUAAUUCUUUUUGUAAGAUAGUGAAGCUUUAUCGAACAAGAUUUUAAUCACUUCAAUUUUUUGAAUUUUGAGUUUCAUUCCUUUCAUGUUUCAUAUUAUUUGAUAAUUUUCACUUCUUAAAUUUCAUUUGUUUAAUAUAUUAGAUCUGAAAAUUUAAUUGUAAACUAUCUCAAUACUUACUUGUAAUCAUUUUUAGACUUUUAUUGAUUUUAAAAUAUGCAUACUGAUAUUUUACUCAAAGUUUCUUCAGUUAACAUUUUUUUAGUAGGUAUCUCGCAGUAAUUUUGUUCUUUAAAGUAUUUUUGGGAAAGAAAUUUAUCAUUCAAAAUGUUGAGUGUUUAAAUCAAUAAGUUUGUUUUUAUUAGUUAAUAUUUAUUAAUGUUAUAUUACAUAUAAUAAAAUACCAAUUUGCUUUUGUACUAGUUUAUUUAAGUUUUAUUGUAAUAACACUUCUUUAAAUUGUAGGAAUAUAUAAUUACAUUAGUUGAGAUAUUUAGUAUUGUAAAACUAGGAAUAUUUAUUUAUAUUUCGUUAUGAUACAACUAGUAAUGUAUUAUCACAUAUUUGUAAAUGUUUAGGUAUAGAUGCUAUUGUUAAUUUCACUGUAAAUAGUAAACUAUUGGGAAAGGGGGACUUAUUUGAGGGGUGACAAUGAAGGCGAGAAAGUAAGAAUGAGUGUGUCCGAAUGGGGCUGGAGAUAUGAAUGAAAGUGUGUCUUAAGGUGUAAACGUAUAAGUAUGAGAGAAAUGUGAAAAUGGGGGGCAAGUAUGAGAUGUAUGAGUGCUAUGAAUGAGUGGUAAAAGUGAGAGAAAUAAAUCAGAGAGAGUGUGUAAGAGAGGGUGAAAAUAUGAAUAAGAAAUGUAUGUACGUAUGUCUUAUAUGCAUGAAAGGGAUGGAAGGUGUAAAUGACAACGUAUGCACGAGAGGGAGAAUGUAAGAAUGAAGGGUGAAUAUCAGAGAGUAAGAAGGUAUAUAUGAGAAGGUGAGAAAAUGAAAGAAGGGUGUAAAUAGAUAUGUGGGAGCAUGAACGAGAGACUGAAGGUAUGAAUAAGGGUUGUAUGUAUGUCUAGAGUGCAUGAGAGGGAUGGUGGAGUUAUUAAAGGUGCAAGUGACAACGUAUGUUAGAGAGGGAGAAUGUAAGAGUGAAGGGUGAAUGUUAGAGAGUGAAAAAGCAUGUGUGAGAAAGUGAAGAUAUGAAAGAAGGGUGUAAAUAAGAGAGUGUUAGCAUGAAGGUAUGACUGAAGGUAUGAAUAAGGGUUGUAUGUAUGUUUAGCGUGCAUGAGAGGAAUGGUGGCGUGAUUGAAGGAGUAAGUGACGAUGUAAGCAAGAGUGGGUGAAUGUAAGAGUGAAGGGAGUAUAUCAGGGAGUUAGAAAGUAUGUAUGAGAGAGAGAGCAUGUUUGACUGAGGGUUGUAAAUCAGAGAGAGAAGCUGCAUGUACGAGAGGAUGAAAAUAUGAAUGAAGGGUGUACCUAUGUAUGUGUGCGAAUGAAAAGUGUAUGUAUACGUAUGUGUGGGGAUGAAUGUAUGAAUGGUGGGGAUCUUACCCUAUUCACCGUUCAUACAUUCAAACCCACGUGUGGCAGGCGGGUAUGCGUGGGGGUGAAUGUAUGAAUGGUGGGGGCCACACCCCAUACACCAUUCAUACAUUCAAACCCACGUGGAGUGGGUGCGAAUGUAGGAAUGGUGGGGACUUCUCACCCUCAGAAGUCCCCACCAUUCAUACAUUCGUACCCACGUGGGGUAGGGUGGGCCCGAGGGCGAAGGCCCCGGGAUCGGGGGCC